GGCCUUGGCUAUUUGGGAUGUUUCCCUGUGUCCUGUACUGAACAAUCAGAAGGAAAAACCUUUUCCUUCACCAACUGCACAGGGAUCCCUGAGACAUUCCCACCAGUGUUCCAUGUGCUGGAAUGCACUGGAUGGGUCUUCUCCAGGUUCCUCCAUCCCAGCCACAAAUGGAGCCGGGGGGAAUCCGCAGCAGAAUUUCACAGCUCACUGUUUUAAUAAAUGUCUGGAAAACGCAGAGUGAAAUUGAGUUAGGACCUUUCCAAUGCACUAAUAUUUUGGAACACAUGGAUCAUGCAUAUGGGAAUAGUCCUGGCCUGGAAAGCACGGGUAAGACCCAAAGAGCUCCAAGAGACACUGCCUGGAAGCUGGAUUCAAUAAAGGGCCAUCCCUUGGAGCUGAGGAAACAGGACAGCCGGGCUGCUGAGACCCCACCGUGCUGGGGGGGAUUUCGGGGCCCUGGCAAGUGCUGUUCCCUGACACAGGACAGAUGCUCUGCCUGCUGAUAAUGAGAAAAAUAGUAACGAACGCUGUUAAUUGCCAAAACCUGAACUCACUGCUGUGGCUUGAGCUCCCUGCUCAGCAGAGCCCGUGGAGGACCUGGAUUGGCCUGUGCUUUACUCUCAGCAUGACCACGAGGAGGAAAACGUGUCCCUGAGGCACUGGGUGCCCCUGGAGCAGCGGGGAGGGCAGAGCCCACCCGAGGGCCAGCGUUUUGCUGCGAAAAGCUGAAGAUUCGGCCGAGAUCCGCGGGUGCUCCCCGGGUGCUGAGCAUCGCCCUGGCGCUGGGAACCCGCUCCUGAUUUGCAAGGGAAAUGCCGGGGGGAUCAGGACACAGAGCCAGAGGGCUCUCUGGGGAUGGUGGAGCACCCACUUCCCAUCUGCUCGCUCCGAUCAGAGCUCUGCAUCCCACGAGCUGUGUGGUCCCUCACCCUGAUGGAGCUGUGCCGGGAGAGGGGCUCGGUGAUCCCCCAGAGCAGCCAAUCCCAGCAAUUCCAGAAGGGGCUGCGUUUUCCUGAGUGGGGGGAUGCUGGUUUUCCAUGGCAGGGAAAACUUUCCUGCCUGGAGGAAAUAAAACUCCUCGGCCCAAGGUCGCAGCAUCUCAUGGGAAAGGUCCCUCCUGCCCUCGAGUCCUCGGCAGGGUGCGGGGUUUCAGACCUCGGGGUGUCCAUGGAUGCAUCCCAGGGAUUCGGGCAACACCGGGACGGACAAACCCGGCACAGGCAGGGCCGGGACGGCCGCGUCCCGUUACUCGUGUCUCUCUGGCUCCUCCUGAAGGAGACAGCCCCGUGUAGCUGCAGGAGCAGGGGAGAGGGGCAGGGAUUGCUCCCGGCCUGCGGAAGGUGGGAUAGUUUGGGAUGGGAAAUGGGAGGAGAACGCGAAUCCCAUCCUGUUGUCGUUUUAAUAGUGUUAUCCCUGCCCUCUGCAGCUCCAUCAGCACAAUUCCCACAUGCCGGGUCGGCCAAAGCUGGCACAGACGCGAGGGAUGGGAUUUGGAGAGAUGGGGUUUGAAGGGAUGGGAUGGAGAGAUGGGACUUGGAGGGAUGAGGAUUGGAGGGACAGGAACUGGAGGGACACUAACUGGCAGGGACUGUGGAAGGAGCAGCCCCGAGCCAAGCUGCAAACACUGCUUUCCAGUCCUUCUCCAUGCAGAGCCAGAGCAGAUCCCAUCCUCUGAGAGAAGGAGGGGAGGUGAGCUCUGGCCUGCAGGACACAGCCCUUUUAUUUAACCUCCUUAUCCCCAGGGGCUUGGAAUUUGUACCCUGGGCUUGGAUUUUGCAUUCUGCUGCCACUCUGCAGCUCCCAAAUCCUGACAGUGGUAAUAAAUAUCCCCCUUUGCUGGGAAGAGUUCUCCCAGUCAGGCUGAGCCCGGGCUGGGGCUGGAGCUGGUUUGAAAGGACGACCCGCUGUGCUGGGUUGCUCCAGGGCCACUGAGCCCUGGAUGCCCUCCCUGCCCCUGCUCUGUGCCAGAAAACCCGCCUAGCACGGAGCUGGGAGGGGGCUAUUCAUUCUCCAGCCAAGGCACAGCCCUUUUUUCUUUUCCUGAAAUAUAUAUUUCAGUGGGAAAGCAGAGCCACGGCUGGGAGGGGACAGGCAGCUAUGAGGCAAAAGGGAUGGAUGCUCGGGAAGGCAGCAGCUCCCAGUGGGUUGAAGCCUUAGAAUCAGAGCCAUUUGGGCUGGAAGAGACCUUUAGAAGUCAUCUAUCCAACCCCAACACUUGAAUUCAGCUGGAAUAUCAGCCUGGCGGUAGCUCCUGGGGGGAAGUUGCUGCACAGGGCUGUGCCCACCACAGAGCUUAAAGGGUGACAGAAUUCUGUGCUUCCCAGGGACAGGCAGGACAGACACUUAUUUUGUUGUUUGCAGAGGUGAAUCACAGCCCUGAGCUCCAAAAUAGCUGGGGAGGAUUCUCCCUGGGGGCUCAGUCACUCCAGAGAGAAAACAGGCAAACAACAAGCUCAAUAUUAAGUGAAUGUUUAAGGUGAGACCCAAAGGCAGCACUCAGGGUGACACAUGUCCCCCAUGGACCCACUGGACAUUCAGUGAGGGAAGGAGUUAUUUCCAGGCAUCCCCAGCAAACACAAACCUACUCAAUAGUUAAUUUUCCCCCUGAACUCUUUAAUUCUGCAUUCUAAAGAGAUGAGUUUAUAGUCACUUAGUAUGGCUUAAAACUGUGUGUUUCUCGCACUGAAGUGUAUUUAAGUAGUGAGUUAUUAUUAUUAUUAUUACAUAUGUUGUUGACUAUUUCAGGGCACCAAACAUCCAGACACUCCAGAUCAUAUACCUGCAGCAUCCUUCCCCAUGAAGGCCUGAAGAUUUGGAAAUUUUGGAGAAAAGGAGCCAGAGUCAUCAGCAGCUCCAUCCACGAGGCCCUUUUCUGAAAGGAUGAGUGUCCAACACAGAGGGCUGUGUGGGCUCUGCCCAAA